rnacentral:rRNA from 1 species
GACGAACGCUGGCGGCGUGCCUAAUACAUGCAAGUUGAGCGAUGAAGAUUGGUGCUUGCCCUAAUUUGAAGAGCAGCGAACGGGUGAGUAACGCGUGGGGAAUCUGCCUUUGAGCGGGGGACAACAUUUGGAAACGAAUGCUAAUACCGCAUAAUAACUUUAAACAUAAGUUUUAAGUGUGAAAGAUGCAAUUGCAGCACUCAAAGAUGAUCCCGCGUUGUAUUGGCUAGUUGGUGAGGUAAAGGCAUACCAAGGCGAGGAUACAUAGCCGACCUGAGAGGGUGAUCGGCCACAUUGGAAGUGGGACACGGCCCAAAAUCCUACGGGAGGCCGCAGUAGGGAAUCUUCGGCAAUAGACGAAAGUCUUACCGAGCAACGCCGCGUGAGUGAAGAAGGUUUUCGGAUCGUAAAGCUCUGUUGGUAGAGAAGAACGUUUGUGGGAGUGGAAAGCUCAUCAAGUGACGGUAACUACCCAGAAAGGGACGGCUAACUACGUG